GACAGAGUAGAUUCCUAAUUAACAAUACUAAAAACUAAUUUUAAACCUAUCUAACAAUGAUUUUAGAACAAUAUGAAAUUGAAACAGAAAUGAACUGAAUGAAGAAAUCUGGAAUCAAAUACAGAAUGAACAGAAUACGAAUCCUGAUGGAAACAAAACCAUACUUGAAAACUGAAAAAACUGUAGAACUUAGGUCAUCCUCUUCUUCUUUUACAGCUUCUUCUAGUCGGGUGUGGGUAAUGAGAUCCCAUUAGAAG
rnacentral:lncRNA from 1 species